UACUAGAGUAGCACUCGCAUAUCAAUAAGCGGAGGAAAAGAAACUAACAAGGAUUCCCCUAGUAACGGCGAGUGAAGCGGGAAGAGCUCAAAUUUGAAAUCUUAAAGGGUUUCCCUUUACGAAUUGUAGUUUAAAGAAGUGUUUUCUGUUGAGGUUUUGGUAAAAGUUCUUUGGAAUAGGACAUCAUAGAGGGUGAGAAUCCCGUAUUUGACCUUUACUUUCAACUUUGUGAUACACUUUCAAAGAGUCGGAUUGUUUGGGAAUGCAGUCCAAAAUGGGUGGUAAAUUUCAUCUAAAGCUAAAUAUUGGCGAGAGACCGAUAGCGAACAAGUACCGUGAGGGAAAGAUGAAAAGAACUUUGAAAAGAGAGUUAAACAGUACGUGAAAUUGUCAAAAGGGAAGCGUUUGACACCAGUGUUGUUUUUUCUGAAAAUCAAUUAAAGAACUGUUUAUACUAAGCUGUUUAGACUUUAUCAGCUAUCUGUUUAGUUUUGAGCUUUUCUUUAAUGCACUUUUCAGUUAACAAGUCAACAUCAAUUUCUUUUGCUGUAAAAAAGCUUGAGGAAGGUGGCUUGAGAUUCGUCUUAGGUGUUUAUAGCCUCUUGCCUAUGCAGUCGGGAGAGAUUGAGGUCUGCAGCGUAGAUCCUUCGGGGCUAAAUGCAUUUGUGCUAAGUUAUAGCAUUUUAUAGACAACUUGUUGACUAUGAUUUGUCUUGUAGCUUACCUCGCUUAUGUUAUUUUACCUACGCUUAGGAUGUUGAACUACUGAGACAUAGA
rnacentral:rRNA from 1 species